rnacentral:rRNA from 1 species
AAUAGAUACCCCGGUAGUCCCAGCCGUAAACGAUGCUCGCUAGGUGUCAGGCAUGGCGCGACCGUGUCUGGUGCCGCAGGGAAGCCGUGAAGCGAGCCACCUGGGAAGUACGGCCGCAAGGCUGAAACUUAAAGGAAUUGGCGGGGGAGCACAACAACGGGUGGAGCCUGCGGUUUAAUUGGACUCAACGCCGGACAACUCACCGGGGACGACAGCAAUAUGUAGGCCAGGCUAAAGACCUUGCCUGAAUCGCUGAGAGGAGGUGCAUGGCCGUCGCCAGUUCGUACUGUGAAGCAUCCUGUUAAGUCAGGCAACGAGCGAGACCCGUGCCCACUGUUACCAGCAUGUCCUCCGGGACGAUGGGUACUCUGUGGGGACCGCCGAUGUUAAAUCGGAGGAAGGUGCGGGCUACGGUAGGUCAGUAUGCCCCGAAUUUCCCGGGCUACACGCGGGCUACAAUGAAUGGGACAAUGGGUCCGUACCCCGAGAGGGGUUGGUAAUCUCCCAAACCCAUCCGUAGUUCGGAUCGAGGGCUGUAACUCGCCCUCGU